rnacentral:lncRNA from 1 species
CCUGGGUUGUCCUCUUGCAGCUAGGACAUUGAGGCCCCAUUGAGGUGGCGCCAGGCACACGCUCCUUCUUGGCCACCUGCUUACCCCUGGGGGACAUGAAUGGCCCUCAGAGAACUCGCCUCCCUCCUGGACCUCUUCUCAGACUUGCUCCCUGGCUGGUGUGAGGUGCUGGGAAAGGCCUCUUGUGCCUGGAACCUGCUGGUUGGGGGUGGCCUAUCAGCCAGUUCUGGAAAGGCCUGUGCACUGGAGCUGCCUGUUGUGAGCCAGUCCUUGUAAAGCUGCCUGUCACACAUCGUUUCUCCUUCAGUGAAAGGAACACUUUCCUUCAUUGCAGACACUGCCCUCAUUGAGCUGGAGUGCGAGGCUCCUGAGAUCUUGGUUCCCUAGGUGUCAACUUGAGAUAAGACCCAGGUACGUGGAGUUUUGGUACAGUGCAUGGGUGGGCCAGGUGACCUGCAGCGACUGACAGAAGUGGCUGGGAACCAAGGGACGACACCCACUUCUUGGUAGCGAGUGCACCUCAAUGUGGGAGUCCUGGGCAUCCAUCCUGCAGGGCCUGUGCGUAGGGUGUGUGGCCCAUGUCAGGCAGCGUCCACUCACGGGUUAGAGAGUGGGGAUAGGGCUCUGCAGGCCGCAGGACAGGCAGAGUGAGGAGGAAGACGGGAGCCCGUGCUGGAGCUGCCCUUGAAAUGCACACAGGAGAGCAGGCUGCUUCCAGGGCUGACCGCCCUGAACACCAGCGGCUCCCUCCCAGAGCAUGGGCAGUACCAUCCAGCUGGUGACCUAGGGAACACCUCCAACUCCACACAGAGCCAACACAAAGCCACCACUUGAGCCCACAAGGACGCCCCACCAGGCACCCGGCUAUGCUCAGACUUGCUCAGGAAACCAGCUUCCCACAGUUUCCCCACAGUGAAGAAACCACCUCCCCUGAUUGCCCUAGAGGGCUUCCGGGCGAGUCGGGGCCUCCUGUGUCACAGACGUGUGGCCUCAGCUUUUGCCUCUUGCCACCAUCCUGCCCCCGGGGUUCCUAGGGCCCCUGGUACUUGUUAAAGCUUCAAAUUCACCAAAUUUACUCCAGCCCGAGUGGAUGUGGGAUCUCAAGUGUUCGCCACUGAUUAGGCAACAUUAUUUCUAUUAUCCUACUGGGCUUCACACUAGGAGUGGAGGCACUUGCCUUGAUUUGAAACUAGCAGACACCAGGAGAAUUUGCUGAUUGCUAAUGAGAACGCUAAGGUUCUGUUGAUACCAUCUGGGACCCUCUUGCUGUGGGCUGAGAUUAGGACAAGGAGCUUGACAUAAUACACCAUAUUGAGCAAGCAGUGACUUGGUUACAGGCUCGGUAUAACUUUUCAUGUCUGCUGCACGCAAACGCUUAGCCCAAAACACCUUUUUCCAGAAUAUGAAACAUAAUAUCUCCAUGCUCAUUGCAUUAUUUAAAAAGGGGCAAUGUGGUUCAUAACUUUACAUUUAUUGCAUACUUUUAAGCCACUUGACCCAUAUAAAUAUUGCUAUAGAGUUGCCCUCAGUUAUUAAAUUCUUAUUGCUUAUAAAAGGGGCAACAGGAAGUAUAUAAGCUACAGUCCAAGGUGUGGGAAGGCUGUGGAGGACCUGGGACCCCGGGAAGGGGUGUGUCGGGGGUGUGGGGAGCAAAUCCGUUUCAAUCAUGCUCUCUGCUUUCAAGCUGGGAUUUUAUUAUUUUUUCCUUGUUGUAGGAAGCAGACUGUUUUACUUUAGCUCAAAGAAUUAUGUAUUGACAUGGCAAGUGACAUUUUUGCCUUUCUACUAAUUAAAAUGGAACCCCACUCUUAAAAGAAAUUGGUUGAAAGAAUUUUUUAUUGCAGCAGCACAGCUGAGACCAGAUAAAAACAGGCAUCAACAUUUAUCAGGGUUCAAAGUCACAUCUCCUCACUGUGAACGGGAAGCACACUGCGUCCUCGUCGUCUGCUCAUAUCCUUAUUAAUGCUGCCUCCCUUGUUCUCCAUGUCCUCCUAGGACAUGUGAGGUUCUCGAGGCGACAAGCACACCUGCCCCAUCCGGAGGCGUGUGCCACUCGCGUGUGCCUAGGAGUUUGUGUCCUGGUGUGCAUAUUUUGGAAACGACAAAAUGACCACGAGCACUUCAGGACACCUCAAAGCCAUUCUACAGAGAAGGUUUCCUGAAAGCAAGUUCCCUUGAAUGUCAGCAUAUGACCCUUUUGGGCUUACUCCCCCCACGGGGACGACACAGCAUAGAGAGGGCAUUACCACCCCAGCACCAAGUACAGGUGGAGAUACACGGGGACCCAGGCUGUUAUGAAGCAUGUUUUUUCUCAAUCAUAAUAAGACUCCCUCCUGUCCUGGUUCACAGUGGAACCCCAGGGUUGGGUGGGCAUGCUUGGCACCCCCGUCCCUUGCAUAUUGGAGACAACCCGGCAAUGUAUUAACAUGGACGAUUUUCCUUGCUGGUGCUUAGGGCAGAGCCUUUAAACUUAGAGGUUACUGCUGUCAACACAGGACCUUUUUCCUCCUGUCACUUUUUUCAGAGAUGAAGGGAAAGAUUUCCCUUAGCCUACAGCAUUUAGCGUGCAAACCCUCCUCCACUGCACUGUGCAGCCACAGAAAUCAUGAAGCCAGACUGCGACCUUCCAGUUCAGUGACAGGACAGGGAUCCCAGGAGCAGUGGACGCCUCCUCUGAUAUUUGGAAAAGUGUCAUGUUUUCUUUACAGAGAAAACUGUCAGGUUGUUGUUGGCAUAAAAUACACCACUUCCUGGAUUGCGAUUUCCUUGUUUGCUACAAAAUGUCACCUGGGCACAUGACAUGUUUUCAUUUUGCUCACAGCCCCUCUCUACUUAAGAUAUUCAAAUGCUGCUCAGAGUCCAGCUGCCCCCGUGCCCUGCUCUUUCCCUUCACAAGUACAGAUCUUGAACAUUCUGGGGAAGGAGAAGUGUUUGCAGACCAAGAGGGCUUCUCCGGUUGUGUGACUUACCUGUGUAGACUGGAAGAAAAACACUCAGCAAAUUCGUGCUCACCCUGUUGAUGUGCUCUUUAGAAAACCUUUGGAACAAAGACAUGCAAUCACUGACCACAGCUGUCGGUGCUGUUUUAAAAGAAAUAGAGGAUGCACUGUGAAUAACAUUUAAAAGGCCACCACCUGUCACCCAUAGCAUUGGCAGAGCUGGCAGUGGUUCCUGGACCUGGACAGGUUGCUCAAGUGGCUGGUUAACUAGGGAUGUCACCCACAACACAUCAGCAUAAUCCAGCUUGCACAGCAGUCAGCCCUGACCUCCCAUCCUGGACACUGGACAACACUUACCUGUAACCCCACCACCACUCACCCAUUUCUGGGUGCUACGCUUGGAAGCACCACUACAGGAUUCAUACCUAAUAAAUGUGAGUGAUUUAGGUGACAUGAGAUAAAAAGCUUCAGGACAUAUAUUAUCCAUGUUAUCCCCCCCCCUUUUUUUUAACUCCUUUGAAGACCUAAAAUAGGAAAACUGUGUCCCUCUUUAGGUCUUUUGUCUUGUCAGACAGAAGUGUAGUCAUUUAAAUGAUGUCUUUUUUUUUUUCUGUUGCAAAUUUAGCAUAUAAAAUAAAGGCAAAAUCUGACCAAUCUAAAGAUGGGAUUCUGCAAAAUCCAAUUGAGUGUCUAAGAGGGGCAUGUGCUGUAGAUCAGCAGACUCCCCUCCAAAGAAAGACUCUCCAGCCCUGCUGCAGCCCUAAAGGGUCUGGUUAAAGGAGUGAGCUGAGCUGGAGUUCCAACCCCAGGAUGACAAAUGCAAGGAAAAUCAAACCCCAGUGACUCUCGGUUGCCCUGGCACUUUUGCACAAGAGGUUGGAGUCAAGUGCAAAAUAGAAAUAAAACAGCAGCACAACCACAGGAGGAUUUAUCCCUCACCGAUAUCAUCAGGGUAUAUUUUCUGGUCACAGUGAAAUACACAACCUCAUCUGGAGCCGACAACCCCAGUUCUUUAGCUCCUGGAAUGCAGAUGAAGGGAGGAGGCAAACACAGCACAACAAUAAAACAGCAAAGGUGUUUUGCUUCUUUUCGAAGAAUUUGCAUGAUUUGAAAAAUGCACCAUGCAGUCUAAAGAGCAGAUUCCUGAACCGUCCUGGUGGAGGACAGCCCAUGGGCUGCGCGUACAGCUGGAAGGUUCUGUGGCUCCAUGGUUAGGGUAGAAUUUGAGACUGUCUCCUUUUCUUCAGCACUUUAUGCCAAAUUACUCUGAGAGUAGGGGAAAAAAAAAACAGCACCUGUUAUCAUGCCUUUCCCAGGAAUAGGAAAUUAAUAUUUUGCAUUUACGUAUGUACAUAUUGCAGCUCUAGACAUCUGCCCUUCAAGACUCUGCCUCUGGAUUUUGAAAACUUCUGCCAGAUUUCCAUUAAAUACGAACUAGGGAGCACACGGACAUGUGGCUUUCAUUUAUUAAGCCUUGCAUUUAGUUUUUGUUGGUUGUAUUUUGUUCAUUUGUUUGUUUCAGCUUGUGUUGCCAUGUCUCUAUUGGUGUGCAAAUAAACUGCUUUACCCUCAAACCACACAGGCAGUUUGGCCAGAAGCUGACAGACUCUUUGGAAGGCAAAACUCCUGAAAUGGCACAGAGAAUGGUACCUCUGACCUGCAGAGUGACAGCAGCCACAAGGCAUAUUUCCAGGACAUGACAACAGUGACAAUACAGCAGAGAGCACUUCUCAGCCCAGGCCCACUCAGAAGUAAUUUGGGCAUUUGCAAAGGGCCUGGGCAGGGCUUUAAGGGGCACUCUUUAUUGUGAUUGCUGGAAGGUAAGGAGGAUUACAAACACCUGACACAGAGCAAGACAUCUGCUGCUGGGCACAGACACUAUUUCCAGAAUGGAUUCCAUAUUUAAUCUAUUUUCUAAAGUCAGAGGUGAGUUUAAUAGGAAAACUAAAAAAGGAACUGUAUGAAUGGAUGGCUCUCAACAUGGAGGAAUUUUUCUGGAAAAAGUUGUCCCUGUUGCAUUGCAUUUGGAAUUGAACUUGGGACAGCCCUUGGCAGCCUUGCAUAAAAAGAUUCAUGCUCAGUCCUGGUGGACUUUACCAAUGGUCAAUAGAGCUCAGCACAAAUAUACCUGGCUCAAAAUCAUGCCCAGAAAAUACUCUUCUGAAGGAUAAAGCUACACAUUAAGCAAAUUAUGCAUUUUCACUUAAAAAUAUGAACAACGGUCCUUCCCUAUUACACUGUGGCAAUUUGAAAAUUUCUAACAGAGCAGGAUAGAUGCUUCACAGCCUUGUUUAUGUUUUGUUUAGCUGGCUGUUCUGCCUCUGCAUUACUCCAAGAAAAAACUCCAAGAAAGAAAAAAAAAUAACAUUUUUUUUCCUCAAACAUUUUAAGGCAAGGACCUACCUUCUAAUGGCAGAACUUUAUUUUCUUCCUCAUAGUAAUAUAUAGUACUGAAAUUCCAAAGGUUUCUGGUGCAUUUCAGCUGUCACCUCAAGUCAAAACCAUAGAGUUCAACUAUAAAAGAAUAUAAUAAAUUUAACCUGACCUAAGGGGGGAUUUUUAGGCAGUCGUUUUUUUUUAAAUUGUGUAUCUGUGAGCUCCCUAUUCUCACAUAUAAAUGUUUUUUUUCUUGCUGGGUUCUUUCUUAGUUCAAACUUGUGUACAUAUGUGAAAUUAUCUGCCCUCAUAUGAAAGUGCUUCAAAGGCACUGAAAUAAGAAGGAGCUUUAGAAGAAAAUACAGCUCAAAGGGAAACUUUAAAGAGCACAUUUUAACCUAGGCUCGGAUCUCCUGAUUUUUUGGUGUGCUCCUGUCCUGAUGGAUUAUUGUAGGGCAAGCCAAGGGUAAUCUUCUUCUUCAAGAAGUACCCCCUGCCUAUCUCUUGGCUUCGGGUGGCCCUGGCCCCCAGCUACUGGCUAUUUAGAGCCUAUAUGUAUUUCAUACACCCAAGCAAACUUCCGCACUCCGGUUCAAAUGUAAUCAAUGUUUUUGUUUUGCAGCCUUUGUAGAUUGAGUCUUUGUUAGGCGAGAGCACAUCUUGUUUCCCCAACACCCGAGGAGGAAAUCCCCGGCAUCAGAGUGCCCCCAAAAGGCAGCCCGGGAAAUGAGCAGGGGCGCGCUGACCUUUAGCGAGACAGCUAAGGUUAUGCACAUAACAUUUGCUUGUUUACUUUGCAAAAUAAGCAACGAGUUGGAAACUCCGAGCUUCGCAGGCGCCUCUGUGCACUUAAAAAACAACCACAGGAACCCGAGGCCGCUGUCUUUCCAGCUCCUGUGCGCGGUGCCUGUUAUCUGCUUUGCUCCGUAUCUAUCCUGAUGCAACUUUAAUAACGUUAGCCAAGACUGCUCGGAAAAUCACAGCUGUAGCUGGAGGCGGAAAAAAAAAAAGGAAAAAAUCCGAGAAAACGAGGUGCUUCCCCCCAGCCUCACCUAGGAGCUGGGUUGCUCUGGCCUGCACGGGGCAGGAGCCUCCAGAUCGAUGGCCGCAGUGGGCUGAUGGCCACUGGUCGUUUUGAUGGAUAUGACUGUAAAAAAAAAAAAAAAAAAAGUCCAGAUUGGUUCACAGUGGACCUCAAACCAUGUCAGCUAAAACCAAAGAGACAAAAAAGUGACAGCUGUGGAGAGCGCACUGCAGGCAGUCAACGGCGCCUGUGAUUUAUCGUUCCAUCUGCCUCGCCGCGGUGAGGACAAGUUCCCCCUGAUUUGGUUAAAAUGAAAAGGACCUCAGAGAGAGCAACGUGGGUUUUGAAAAUGUGCAGAAACUAUUUUUUUUUUAAUUUCCUGAUUUAUGUCCCUUUCCCCUUUCAGAAGGUCUGCCCCCCUGGGGAGCUCGGCGGGGGUGGGAGCGGGAGUGGGGGCGCGCGCGCCCCAGGCCCGCGCGAUUCUGGGGUGCGGAUGACUCGCCCCGAUCCCGGCCUUGCGCACUGCCGGCCUCGCGGGCGCGAGCCAGGGCGCAGAGUCCAGCCAGAAGGGGUAGCUGCGCGGCUGAGAGGAGCGCCCCGCCCCGGACCUGGCUACCCCUUGCAGCCGGCCAGGCCCGGCUUUCCCUGGAAGUUCAGCCUGGUGCUCUGGGAUUCUAAUAAAAGUUUUAUGCCGGUCAGCACAUUUUCAGCCCAUUUCCCAUGAAGAGGCCUGUUGGUUUCGGUGGUGCAUGGAAACUUCGGCGCUCUCCUGCCUAGUGCGGGCCCUGGAGCCCUGACCCCCGGCAAUCACUUCCUGGCUGGAGGGUUUCGGCCUCUCAGGUCCAACCUGGUGUCAAAAGCUGGCCUGUCUUCUGUCUCAGGAUGUUGGUUUUACCUCUCAAGUGUUUCCUGAAUUUGUGAAAAUUCUUUUUCUAGCCGCUUGUCCAUAGUGGUUUAAUGCUCAAAAAAAUAUUUACCUUUUUAUUUUUUUUUAAGAAAAAGAAAAGAGGGGAAAGGGGGCUACUGAGAAGGAGGGGAAGAGAGCAAGGCUUGGCGGCUACCGUGGAGUGGGGGCUGCCCCCAGGGGGCCAGUUCUACUUUUGGAACAUGUUCCUGUCAGGCAGGGGUCAACAUCUUUUACCUCUUUUUUCCAUUAUUCAAAAUAAGUAUUGAUGUUAUGUUUUAGCUAUUUAAAAGCCAGCUGCCUUGCUCAUUUCACAUACUUUUCCUGGUACGAUUGUAUGUGGUAAUAGCUGGUCUGUGUAUCGUCUUUCACAAAAUCUAGCCUUUCAGAGCCUCAGUCUUCAAAUGAUAUCAAUCAAAAUUUAUGCAAUUCAAAAUCCAUAUGUAUAGAGUCCCAGUUCACCUCAUUUAAUGAUAAUAGUAAACCACAUGUUGUGUACAUGUCUAAAACACUUUUCUCCUUCUUGGCUGUGGUAACCCUAGGGGCACUCUGCUCCAUACAGCUUCCCAACCGAGCAGCAUAAUACAUUGAUUAAUACUUGGCAACAAUGGAAAUCUUGAAUAAUAAAAUGGUGAACAAGGUAAAUGCAAACUAAUAAGACAAGGAGUGUGUCAAUAAUGUUUGAAGAUGUAUGUUAAUAUAAACAACCUAGGAAGACCUGAGAGGCUGGGAAAGCCAGUUACUCCAGAUGCACGCAUGGUCUCUUAUUAACCAUGUUGAAGUUGAUCUUCACUCUUCAGAGGCGCCGUGACGUGGGGAAAAUGAGGCUUGGUCUGGCUGGGUCCUUCCCACAGGUCAGUGGGGAGACCUCUGCCCCUCAACCCAGCCAGGCCAGCUGCUGCAAGGCAGGGCCUGUUGCUCCUGCACUUCAGCUAGGAGCAGAGAGUGGCGGGGUGGGGAGGAGAAAGAGAAUCACUCGUGAAAUUAGUCCAUCGUUAAAAUACCUUAAUCCUAGGUGGGGAAUAUUAAAGUGGGAAUUUAGAGCAUUCAAUUGCAUUAGCUCUGAGAUCUGGUCAGAGAAUGCUUAAGGUUUUCCCAAGAAGCAGUGGAUCAGUAGAUGUUUGACUAAGACCUGAGUUCACAGUACUUGGGUAUUGAGUGCUGAUAGGCACCAGGAGGUCAUGCACAGACUGCAUAAGCACCAGAGGUAUGUGCUCCUUAAAUGAUGAAAUCCUUCAUCUGAUCUAUUUUUAUCAAAAGCAAAAUUGGUAACUGUUCAUAGUUGCACAAUAGCAUUUGCCUCUGACAGGCUGCAUUAUUUACUUCAGGUUUAAUACACAUUACAAAUAAGAUUUGCUUUCAUGGAACAGCAUUAAACAUUUGGCCAGGGGAGAGUGGAACAUUUUCCUUAAUUUGUUUUGGCAAAUCUGAGAAAUAGAGGUCAUUACACAUACUUCUGCAUUCCAGAAACGUAACAAGGAGCAAAUAUUUUAAGAAAACCGAGAUUAUAAUUAAAAAUACACCAGCGUUUUAGGGCCUGAGAAGGCGUGAGACCGUGUGUGUGACUCUCAGACUGCAGCGCUCUGGGGCCCGGGGUGGGUUUUAAAAAGAACAGAAAAUUGGAGGCGCAGACUUGGAAAGCUUUUCUUUUGGAAAUCCUUAAAAACGCAACAUAACAUCAAUUAUUCAGCAUUAGACUCAACCAGUUUCUUCUUUUCCCCAAAAAACAAGCCUUUUUGAAGCACCUACGUAGAUAUUCACAUUUCUGUCAGGUGAUAUUAAAGGUUUAUGUGAACAUUCAUACUGAAAAAUUAAGCACACUUUUGUUUUGAUUGACUGCAAUCUGUUCCUAAAACCACAAGGUGAAAAGGCGGCGAGGGCAGCCACAUCUGUGUCUUCCUUCUCUGCAGCCAAAUGAGCCACACCGAGGCGGGAAAGCUGUUGACAAAUUAAUACUUUAAGAAAAUAAACUAUGGUCGUGUUCAACAUAGAGCAACUUUAUCCUGAUUAAUUUGUGUUGGAGGCUGUCCAGCGCCCAUCGACAAAGCCCCGCAGUUUGUACAAAUGUAAUUUCCUAAUAUUUACAUGAGGAAAGCCUCACAGUUAAGCUUCGCCUCCAGUGUGAGUUUUGUGGUUUGUAAAAAGACAAUAAAAAUACAGAGAGGUAAUUGUAAGCACAUUUGGAAAAGAAAGGAAAAAAGAAAGGAUUUUUUUUCUCUCCUGUCCUUGCACGGUCCUAUAAAAAUGGGCUGUGUGUGUGCAGACUCAGGAAGGGGAACUGCAUUCAGCCCGCGAAGUUUUAAGUAAUGUAACACCUAAUACUUAAUAAUGUAUCCCUGCAACCGAGUAGAGCCGAGGAGCCGGCAGAACACCCACGGUUGUUCUUAACAUGGAUCUUUUGCAUCCUGGCAUAAUUCAUCUUUGUCCAUCUGUAUGGGCUUGUCAUUUUACGCUUUUAUUUAUAUCGAAUGUUAGGCACUUGUAUGACUGUCUGAUUUAAUAAAUAUGAAAAAAGAAAAAUGCAGUUGUAAUGCGUUGCUUUGUUCUGAGAAUAUUAAAAAAAAAUAACCUUUAGUUUUAAUGAGAUUUUUCCCCCAUCAGUUUAUACAAUUUUCCAGAUGCAAAAUGAGCUUUUGGCUGUAAAAUAUUUUAUCACAUUGUCUUACACAAUAAAGAUUAGAUGUUUUCUCUCUCUCAACUGCACUGCAAUUAUUUUUUAGUGUUUGCAAAUCAUAAUAUCAUUUAAAAACCAUAUUUUAUACCUCAUCUAAAAUACUUUUAUAGCUGUAUGAUGAAAAAAAUAACAUCUAUUUAACUACUCUUUUUAAGUGGCUGUUAUGUGCUUUAGUACAAUUUCCUAGGAAAAGACACAGCUAAAAACUUAGCUUUCCUUGAAAACAAAUCUCCCAAGCAACAGCUUUGCAAAAAUUCCCAGAAUUUAAUUCCCCCGACUGGAAAGCCCAGAGUGCCGGAAAGUAAAAAUAGUAGCCCUGUCAUUUCACAUUCAUUAAGUGUGAAACUCAGAAAUUAAUAAUGUAAAAAUAUGCUUUUUAAUUAGUCUUACAUUCUGCCCAAUGUACUUAAAUGGGAUCAGCGGCUCCCUAAUGAUUUUUUUCUUAAUAAAGUAUUAGCCUGUGAUGCACGGAGGUUGACAGGUAUGAUAAACUGGAAAGUACUUUUGGAGGCGUAUGAAUGAUACCAAAAUAGUACUCACCCAUUUAGAUGUAAUUAACAUCAGGGAGCAAUAUUACAAGAGAAGCCUGCAAGAUUUUUAUUUCGGGUUUUUUUUUUUUUCAUU